UACAUUGAACUGCCUUUUAAGCAGUGGGUCCGGGGUUCGAAUCCCCGGCGGGUCACCA
rnacentral:tRNA from 1 species